AUAGAAACAGAAAAGAGAUAAGUGCUUGCCAGUGGUUGGGUAUUGGAGGAAUGGGAAUGGCUGCUAAUUGGUACGGUGUUUAUAAUGUGAUGAAAUGUUUUGGAAAGAGAUACUGGAGAUGAUUGCCCAACCUCGUGAAUAUAUUAACAUCGACUGAAUUGUACCCUUUAAAAUGGUAGACUUCAUGAUUGUGCAAGAGGAAGAUGUAUGUCACGUCAAAGAAUUAUUUGCUAGUCCUAAGUCCUGAAAUUUCUAUUUUUUCCUAAACAUUUUAUGGUUUUAUAUUUUACAUAUAAGUUCAUGAGUUAAUUUUUGCAUAAAGUAUGCGUUUUAAGUUGAGCUUCUUUUUUUUGCUUACAAAUGUCACUUUGACAAAUUUUAAAACUGAGUUAUCUUUAUUACUGAGUUGUAAGAAUUCUUUCCAUCCCCUAGAUACACAUCCUUUGUCAGAUGUAUGUAUUACAAAUAUUUUCUUUUGGUCCUGGCUUGUUUAUUCAUUUGCUUAACGGUGUCUCUUAUGGUUUUACAUUUUGAUUAAACCCAAUGUGUUAGUUUUUUUGAGGUUGGUACUUUUCGGUCUCAUGGAAAAAAAUCUUUGCCAACCCCACAGUCAUGAAGAUAUUCUUCUGUUUUUCUCUAGAAGCCUUUUAGUUUUAGCUUUUGAGUUUAGGUCCAUGAUGCAUCUCAAAAUUAGUUUUUUGUGUAGCAUGAGGCAGGAACUGGAGUGGUUCUUUCACUCUGCCCACCGCUGGCCACUCCUCCGCUCAGGAGGGAGGGUGCGAGCGAGCAAGUGCAGGAACUGAAGCGAACAAACACUGGAACUGGCCAGAGUCCAAGCAUGUUAUGACCAAUACUCUGUCAGAUCAGCCGUCCAGGGACAGGGGAGUGCCAACCAGCUCACUGGAGGGUCAAGGUGGCAGCCUCUGACCUCUCAGCACCCAGGUUCUUGUCCAGCAUCCAGGAAGAAUCAAGUCACAUGAACUGUUUGAGAGGUUGAUGAAUGCAGAAGACUUUAUUGAGCAGUGGUUGGCUCUCAGCAGAAAAGGAGACUGAAAAGCGGUCGGGAAAAUGAUCUCUCUCUCCCUGAAGCCCGGCUGCCCCUCUCUGAAGCAGCCCUGUCUGAAGUUAGCCACAUCUAUCCAUAGUCUCCAACGUUCAGUUGCUUCUCUGCUCGCUGCUCAGCCACUUGUGUUGCUCUGCCAGCUGAAGUCUUCUAUGGGCACAGGAUAGGAGCAUGGCAGGCCAAAAAGGUAACUUCAUCUUGACAUUCUGCAAAACAUAAUUCUGGUCGACUACAUGAGUGGCAUGAUGCUAAUGUGACUUAUGAGCAAGAAGUGGCAAAUACCCUACAUGCCCAAAUCCGUGCAAUCUCUGGCACUAGGGGGUCAUCUGGGUUUGGAUCACAUAGCAGUGAACAAAUGGAUAAAAGAACUGCAAGAAAACAAAAACAUCUGUUACCCAGUUUCAGGAGUUUGGAUAAAUAAAUUUUUCUAAACCGUGUAUUAC
rnacentral:lncRNA from 10 species